CCUACGGGAUGCAGCAGUGGGGGAUAUUGCACAAUGGGGGAAACCCUGAUGCAGCGACGCCGCGUGGGUGAAGAAGCGCCUCGGCGCGUAAAGCCCUGUCAGCAGGGAAGAAAAUGACGGUACCUGAAGAAGAAGCCCCGGCUAACUACGUGCCAGCAGCCGCGGUAAUACGUAGGGGGCAAGCGUUAUCCGGAUUUACUGGGUGUAAAGGGGGCGCAGACGGCGAUGCAAGCCAGGAGUGAAAGCCCGGGGCCCAACCCCGGGACUGCUCUUGGAACUGCGUGGCUAGAGUGCAGGAGGGGCAGGCGGAAUUCCUGGUGUAGCGGUGAAAUGCGUAGAUAUCAGGAGGAACACAGGUGGCGAAGGCGACCUGCUGGACUGCAACUGACGUUGAGGCCCGAAAGCGUGGGGAGCAAACAGGAUUAGAUACCCCUGUAGUC
rnacentral:rRNA from 1 species